UGGGGAGUAUUGCACAAUGGAGGAAACUCUGAUGCAGCAACGCCGCGUGAGGGAAGAAGGUCUUCGGAUUGUAAACCUUUGUUUUAGUGACGAAAAAUAGACGGUAGCUAAAGAGGAAGCCACGGCUAACUACGUGCCAGCAGCCGCGGUAAUACGUAGGUGGCAAGCGUUGUCCGGAUUUACUGGGUGUAAAGGGUGCGCAGGCGGGACUGCAAGUUGGAUGUGAAAUACCGAGGCUUAACCUCGGAGCUGCAUCCAAAACUGUGGUUCUUGAGUGGAGUAGAGGUAAGCGGAAUUCCGAGUGUAGCGGUGAAAUGCGUAGAUAUUCGGAGGAACACCAGUGGCGAAGGCGGCUUACUGGGCUCUAACUGA
rnacentral:rRNA from 1 species